AAAGAAGAUAUCGAGGGCGCACGGUGGAUGCCUUGGCACAGGAAGUCGACGAAGGACGUGACAAGCUGCGAUAAGCCGCGGUGAGGCGCAAAUGGCCUAUGACCCGCGGAUCUCCGAAUGGGGCAACCCGCGCGGGUCCAUACCCGCGCACCGCCGGCCGAACACAUAGGCCGGACGGGGGCAACCGGGGGAACUGAAACAUCUAAGUACCCCGAGGAAAGGAAAUCAACCGAGACUCCGCGAGUAGCGGCGAGCGAAAGCGGACCCAGCCCAAACCCAUGCAUGCGUUACAGCCCAGGGGCGAUGCUGCAUGCGGUGUUGUGGGGCGGGACAUCCAGGCGGCCCUAGACGCCUGGCGCGGUCAUAAAGGGAUGUUGAAGGGGAACCGGCUGGGAAGCCGGGCCGAAGAGGGCGAGCGCCCCGUACCCGAAUCAGCAUCCCCCGCGAGUCCCGUACCCGAGUAGCGCCGGACACGUGAAACCCGGUGCGAAUCAGGGGGGACCACCCUCCAAGGCUGAGCACUCUCCUGUGACCGAUAGCGAACCAGUACCGUGAGGGAAAGGUGAAAAGCACCCCGAGAGGGGAGUGAAACAGUACCUGAAACCGUGCGCCCACAAGCAGUCGGAGCAUCCCUACGGGGGUGUGACGGCGUGCCUUUUGUAGAAUGAGCCAGCGAGUUGCGGUGCGCGGCGAGGUUAAGGAGGAACCGAGCCGCAGCGAAAGCGAGUCUUUAAACGGGCGAUGAGUCGCGCGCCGCAGACGCGAAGCCGGGUGAGCUAUCCUCGGGCAGGCUGAAGCGCGGGUAAGACCGCGUGGAGGGCCGAACCCACUUCGGUUGAAAACGGAGGGGAUGACCCGAGGAUAGGGGUGAAAGGCCAAUCAAACCCGGAGAUAUCUCGUUCUCCCCGAAAUAGCUUUAGGGCUAGCCUCGGACGUUAUCCACCGGAGGUAGAGCACUGGAUCUCCAAGGGGGCUUCACCGCCUGCCGAGGGGAACCAAACUCCGAAUACCGGCGGACCAGAGUCCGGGAGUCAGAGCAUGUGGGCUAAGCUGUGUGCUCGAGAGGGAAACAGCCCAGACCGCCCGCUAAGGUCCCCAAGUUCGUGCUGAGUGGCAAAGGAUGUGCGUUUGCCUAGACAACCAGGAUGUUGGCUUAGAAGCAGCCAUGCAUUUAAAGAGUGCGUAACAGCUCACUGGUCAAGUGGACAUGCGCCGACAAUUCACGGGGCUAAGCACGGCACCGAAGCGGCGGACUAGAUUUCUAGUGGUAGGGGAGCUUUCCGAGAGGGGCGAAGCAGGCGCGGUAACGCCCUGUGGACUUCUCGGAAGUGAGAAUGCUGGCAUGAGUAACGAGAGCAGAGCGAGAAACUCUGCCGCCGUAUGCCCAAGGUUUCCUGGGGAAGGCUAAUCCCCCCAGGGUCAGUCGGGAGCUAAGGCGAGGCCGGCAGGCGUAGCCGAUGCACAACGGGUCGAUAUUCCCGUACCAUCGUGUUGCCGUCACGACGAUGGGGCGACGGAGAAGGAUAGGCGGGCGGGGUUCUGGACGUCCCCGUGAAAGCGCGUAGGGCGCGUCGCAUGGAAACCAGCGACGCAUCGAGCCCGAGACGCGAGACGAAGCGAAUGGGUGAAGCCGCCGAGUCCAUGCUUCCUGGAAAAACCCCUAAGCAGGCACACGGUGCCCGUACCAAAACCGACACAGGUGGGCGGGUAGAGCAUACCGAGGCGAUCGGGAGAACCAUGGUUAAGGAACUCGGCAUACUGACUCCGUAACUUCGGGAGAAGGAGUGCCCCUGAGGGUGAAGGGACUUGCUCCCCAAGCCCAUGGGGGUCGCAGCGAAACGGCCCAAGCGACUGUUUAUCAAAAACACAGGACUCUGCGAAGCCGCAAGGCGAUGUAUAGGGUCUGACGCCUGCCCGGUGCCGGAAGGUUACGCGGAGGUGUUAGCCGCAAGGCGAAGCACCGAAGCCAAGCCCCGGUAAACGGCGGCCGUAACUAUAACGGUCCUAAGGUAGCGAAAUUCCUUGUCGGGUAAGUUCCGACCUGCACGAAUGGCGUAACGACUUGGGCGCUGUCUCAACCAUGGACCCGGUGAAAUUGUAUUAUUCGUGAAGAUGCGAAUUACCCGCGGAAGGACGGAAAGACCCCGUGAACCUUUACUACAGCUUGGCAUUGGCCGUUGGUGCGGCGCGUAGAGGAUAGGUGGGAGGCUUCGAAGCCGGGGCGCCAGCCCCGGUGGAGCCAUCCUUGGAAUACCACCCCCGGCGCACUGGCGGCCUAACUCGCGGCCGUGAUCCGGCGCGAGGACCGUGCCAGGUGGGUAGUUUGACUGGGGCGGUCGCCUCCCAAAGAGUAACGGAGGCGUGCGCAAGGUCCGCUCAGAACGGUCGGCAACCGUUCGCAGAGCACAAGAGUACAAGCGGGCUUGACUGCGAGGCCCACAAGCCGAGCAGAUGGGAAACCAGGUUCUAGUGAUCCGGCGGCACAGCGUGGAAUGGCCGUCGCUCAACGGAUAAAAGGUACUCCGGGGAUAACAGGCUGAUCUUGCCCAAGAGUCCACAUCGACGGCAAGGUUUGGCACCUCGAUGUCGGCUCAUCGCAUCCUGGGGCUGAAGUCGGUCCCAAGGGUAUGGCUGUUCGCCAUUUAAAGCGGUACGCGAGCUGGGUUCAGAACGUCGUGAGACAGUUCGGUCCCUAUCCUCCGCGGGCGCAGGAGAAUUGAGGAGAUCCGCCCCUAGUACGAGAGGACCGGGGUGGACGGACCUCUGGUGUCCCGGUUGUCGACCAACGGCACGGCCGGCUAGCUACGUCCGGAACGGAUAACCGCUGAAAGCAUCUAAGUGGGAAGCCGUCUCCAAGAUGAGUUCUCCUUUCGGUAAGGGCCCAGGUAGACUACCUGGUCGAUAGGCCGCAGCUGCAAGCGCCGCGAGGCGUUCAGGCGAGCGGUACUAAUAGCCCGAGCUCUUCUAUUC
rfam:Denitrobacterium detoxificans strain NPOH1, complete genome.